rnacentral:rRNA from 1 species
UACGGAGGAUGCAAGCGUUAUCCGGAUUUAUUGGGUUUAAAGGGUGCGUAGGCGGCUUAGUAAGUCAGCGGUGAAAUUUUGCAGCUUAACUGUAAAAGUGCCGUUGAUACUGUGAGGCUAGGAUUUGGUUGCUGUGGGUGGAAUGUGUGGUGUAGCGGUGAAAUGCUUAGAGAUCACACAGAAUAUCGAUUGCGAAGGCAGCUCACAAAGCCAAGAUUGACGCUGAGGCACGAAAGUGUGGGGAUCAAACAGGA